AAAACCGUAUGGACGUAAAUUUAUAUUGCUAUAAUAAUUGUAACAGUCAUUACGCUUUUUUUUCUAACGACGAGUAUCGUACAAAUUUCGUUGACAAUUCGUACACGAAUAACGUAAGACGUUAGAAUAAUAUUAUUACACGAGCGAUAGGAAUGUAUACGACGUUCGAGUUCGCGUGUCGGGCUUUGAAUUGGUGUACAUUAUUACGACCAAUAUAUACAAAUUGACUCUAUAGGAAAGUCCCAAUAAGAGACAUUAGUAAUAGUUUAAAACGCAUACCGUAUUGUUUGCUCGAGUCGUGGAAUACAUUUGUAUUUACUAACCAAUGUUUUUUUUUU